AUACUUACCUGGGUCGUGUAUCUGAGCUCAUCAAUCUUGGAUAUACAGCGAGAGUGGUUAACAUUGCACAGCGUUGGCUAUUCAUGCUGCGAACAGCCUUCGGGUUGUCUCGAGAUCAUAAUUUUUGUUUGGGGGGAAUAAGUGGUUCGCCGCGUGUUCCCCU
rnacentral:snRNA from 1 species